GAGUUUGAUUCUGGCUCAGGACGAACGCUGGCGGCGUGCCUAAUACAUGCAAGUAGGACGCACAGUUUAUACCGUAGCUUGCUACACCAUAGACUGUGAGUUGCGAACGGGUGAGUAACGCGUAGGUAACCUGCCUAUUAGAGGGGGAUAACUAUUGGAAACGAUAGCUAAUACCGCAUAACAGUAUGUAACACAUGUUAGAUGCUUGAAAGAUGCAAUUGCAUCGCUAGUAGAUGGACCUGCGUUGUAUUAGCUAGUAGGUAGGGUAAUGGCCUACCUAGGCGACGAUACAUAGCCGACCUGAGAGGGUGAUCGGCCACACUGGGACUGAGACACGGCCCAGACUCCUACGGGAGGCAGCAGUAGGGAAUCUUCGGCAAUGGGGGGAACCCUGACCGAGCAACGCCGCGUGAGUGAAGAAGGUUUUCGGAUCGUAAAGCUCUGUUGUUAAGGAAGAACGAGUGUGAGAAUGGAAAGUUCAUACU
rnacentral:rRNA from 1 species